CGGUGGGGAAGGAUGUUUUGAAUACAGUGUCCAUCUGUCUGUCAGCACAGGAGAGAAAGAAAGAAUUGAAAACAAUUCUGUAAAUAAAUGGACAGCUGGGCUUAGAAGAGCUCUUACUGACCCUUAGAGAAAUAUGAGGAAGGAAGAGAAGUCUGGGGAGGUUAUAGCUGGUCCUGCAACACCGGUAUUAUCUGAAUCCAGAGCCGAGAGUGGGAUAUUUUAUUAAAAUUCAACACAACCUUGGAAUAGUCCUGAGGGUGCCAUUCGGGGUGAGGAACCUACUGGAAACUGGCCUGAUAGUCCAAAUCAGAUUAGAAAAGUUGCAUCUGUUUAUUGUAGGACUUGUGCAAUCGUUUGUUGUCCCUGUGCUCAGCCUGGCCGGACCCAGACAGCAGGGAGGCAGCCCACAGCGUUGAACCCAGCCUGUCCCCGAAUGCACUCUGAGGGUGCUUUGCUUGAAGCUUUUGCCUGACGUCUCUUUUACCUAAAUCACGUCUCGUAUUGUUUAAUAGUUCCUUCAGUUUACAGAGCAUCUUCCAGAAGGAAGGUCCUCCCCAUGGACUGAUGAAACAAGUCAAUUAAUUAACCGCUGAAAUUCUGUCUUCUCGCCGAGUGAAAUAUGAUGGCUUUGUUACAGCCGUAGCGUGCAGCAACGUUUACCGACGGAGCAAAGAUAAUUCCUCUGGUUGCAAUCCCUGUUUAAAUGUAGGCGGUCACACCGCGAUUUGGGGUGAGAAAUAGGAGCAGCAGGAACAGGAUUUCCUAAGCAACAAAGAUCUGCUUCACUUAAAAAUACUUCAGAAUCUUGGCCUCUUAACCCGAGAAUAAGGACACAGAAACAAGAACAGUGAUGACAAAUCACUGCCACAGAGGAGUGUAAGUGCUUAGAAGUCCUCUGCAACCCUCUGUAAGCACAGUGAAGAUCUGCAUCCCCUGUACCUUCUCAUGCAGUUAAGCAGAAGAAUGAAGACUGAGAAGGCGGGAGCGAUAAGAAUAGCUGCGGGAAGAAGCCAACGUGUUCAAGAACCUUUUAUAACCGCCAUGAGGACAGACCUGGCGCUCCAGAAGGGUCCUGGGCUAAUGCAGUGCGGUGGCACCUGGGGCAGAGCAGGGAUUUUGCAGCAUCUGCACCCGACCCCUUAUAUAAGCAUUGCACAGCACGACUGGCUCCUGCUUGCGAAGGACUGGGGAUGGGAAAAGCAAUAGUGGAUGCUCUCGGGGUAAGUGGGCCAGUCGAAUCAAGGUGAAUUAUGAAACUGCCCCUGCGAGCUCCGGGAGCGUUGCACAUUAUGGGUUUAAAUCCAGGUUUUCUGUGGCCUUUUCAGCUCUGCGCCCCCAAGCACACCAGCCUGGGGACCCCACGGCCGCGGUAUCUCUGCGCAGUUUUCUCCUUUUGUCUGUCCCCCAUUUGGCAUUGCUUUUCCUCCAGAGUGCUCCCGCUGCGUGCCCGUUCAGCGCGCCUGCCCUGAAGCCAGCCCUUUGUGAUGUGGCAGCUCGGGCCGCAAGCACGUGGAGAUGCUGCCGAGGGAGGGCUGCUCGGAAAAAUGAAGGCAGGAGGAACUGAUGGAGCGACGGGGUGGAGGGUGGGUGGCAAUGAGCACGCGUGGAGUCACCGCCUGGGAACGAAGCCAUGCCCAGAACACCCUGCCCCGGGUGGGGAAAUAUGGCAGGAACGCUGACGUUCCCCUGGCACGGCGCAGGACCAAACCUCGGCCCCUCCUUCCCUCUGAUGCCACAUGCCUUAACGGAAAGAGAAAGGGAAAAAACGCCUGUAAAUGGGGCAGUGCAAGCUUGACCUGAGCUGCAAUUCUCAGAGGGAAAGAGGAAAACAGGGCCUGAGCCCGCCUUGGUUGAAUCAGACUUUCAAAUCUCCUUUUUCAUCCUUUUUAUUUAUUUAUUUAUUUAUUUUCCCUCUCCGUUUCCCAGCUGCUUGUCUUUUAAUCUCCUCUUUCAACCUAUCUGAACUCUGGCUGUCUCCAGUGUAAGAAAUAAAUCCCCCUUGCAAUGCUGCCCGCUUCUUGUCUGCUUCA